AGAGUUUGAUCAUGGCUCAGAACGAACGCUGGCGGCAGGCUUAACACAUGCAAGUCGAACGCGUGUAGCAAUACACGAGUGGCGCACGGGUGAGUAACGCGUGGAUAUCUGCCUUUUGGUUCGGAAUAACUCCGGGAAACUGGAGCUAAUACCGGAUGGUUCCUACGGGAUAAAGAUUUAUCGCCAAAAGAUGAGUCCGCGUACGAUUAGCUAGUUGGUGAGGUAAUGGCUCACCAAGGCGACGAUCGUUAGCUGGUCUGAGAGGACGAUCAGCCACACUGGGACUGAGACACGGCCCAGACUCCUACGGGAGGCAGCAGGUGGGGAAUAUUGGACAAUGGGGGCAACCCUGAUCCAGCCAUGCCGCGUGAGUGACGAAGGCCUUCGGGUUGUAAAGCUCUUUGGCGGGGACGAUGAUGACGGUACCCGCAGAAUAAGCCCCGGCUAACUUCGUG
rnacentral:rRNA from 1 species